GGAAUGUCGAGAUCCAAUCCAGAGAAAUCAGGCAAUGAUCCAACUUUGCCAAGGAUGGAUUCUCCCUAUGAUUUGACCAGGUGAAGGUUUUUUGGGUGAUCCUUAGCUCCGACAGUUGCAUCUGCUCAAUGAAGAGGUUAAAGUCUGCAGAUGCUAUUUGGCUACUAGUUGAGCCUUUUCUCUCUUUCAGAUAACAUACCAUAUUGAAAUCACCUACGAGAGCCCAAGGUCCAUUCCAAGAAUAUAUGACAGAUCUAAUCUCUUCAAGGAAAGGUCUCCUGAGAGACAUAUCCACUGGGCCAUAGACAUUUGUUAAUAGCCAUUCCACUAAACUUUGGGAUAAUAAGGAGUGCACCAUACUUAUGGAAAACCUCCCUUUGUGAAGAUGACGCCUACUAACCUCCUCUGAAUUCCAAGCCGUUAGUAAUCCACUAGCUGAUCCCGAUGCACCUAAGUACACCCAUGAGUCUAUCCUACCAUCACAAGAUGAGGAAACUAUUCACGAAUUGAUCACCUCAAGUUUGGUCUCUUGGAAACACACCAGCUUACACUUCGAAUGGACCACUGCAUCCUUUACUACACGCUUCUUAAAGGCCUUACCAAAUCUUCUUACAUUCCAAAACAAUGUCGCCAAACCCAUUUAUUGGGAGCGAAAACCAUUUUAGUGUCCAAGUGGCCAUUUGGAGGCCAAGCCACGUUGGUUGAAAAAACAUCCUGACUAUUAUUUUGCAUGAGACUAUUACCAAGAUCACUGGAUGUUACUUCACACUGAGAUACAUCUUUAGCACCCCAUUCCAUUACUUUCUCUAAGAAACCC
rnacentral:lncRNA from 1 species